rnacentral:tRNA from 44 species
GCCCAGGUAGCUCAGUCGGUAGAGCAGAGGACUGAAAAUCCUCGUGUCGGCGGUUCGAUUCCGUCCCUGGGCACCA